rnacentral:rRNA from 4 species
GCGACCCCAGGUCAAGCGGGGCUACCCGCUGAGUUUAAGCAUAUCAAUAAGCGGAGGAAAAGAAACUAACAAGGAUUCCCUUAGUAACGGC